rnacentral:rRNA from 1 species
GACGAACGCUGGCGGCGUGCUUAACACAUGCAAGUCGAACGAAGAGCGAUGGAAGCUUGCUUCUAUCAAUCUUAGUGGCGAACGGGUGAGUAACGCGUAAUCAACCUGCCCUUCAGAGGGGGACAACAGUUGGAAACGACUGCUAAUACCGCAUACGAUCUGACCUCGGCAUCGAGGAUAGAUGAAAGGUGGCCUCUAUUUAUAAGCUAUCACUGAAGGAGGGGAUUGCGUCUGAUUAGCUAGUUGGAGGGGUAACGGCCCACCAAGGCGAUGAUCAGUAGCCGGUCUGAGAGGAUGAACGGCCACAUUGGGACUGAGACACGGCCCAGACUCCUACGGGAGGCAGCAGUGGGGAAUCUUCCGCAAUGGACGAAAGUCUGACGGGGCAACGCCGCGUGAGUGAUGACGGCCUUCGGGUUGUAAAGCUCUGUUAAUCGGGACGAAAGGCCUUCUUGCGAAUAGUUAGAAGGAUUGACGGUACCGGAAUAGAAAGCCACGGCUAACUACGUG